AUUCCCCAAUGAGAUGGUCUUUUUGAUCAGUUCUCUCAGAACCCUCUGCAGAAAUGAUCAGAGACUUGAACACUGAGGCAGACAAGCCAAUUCGGUAUUGAGCAAGAUACCUUGGAAACUGAGAAAAUCCCCUGAGAAGAGGGCAUGCAGAAAGGAGCAAGGCCGAACAACUUCGACUUUCCUUUCUUGGAUUCAUUACAAACAACAUAGAUGUGGAUGCUCAAGUCCUCUGAUGGUCCUUAAAAAUAGACAGGUCUUUGAAAAGGAAUAACCAAAGUAAGAAGAAGCUCCAAGAGUAUUUGGAACAAUUACUAUUGACUGGAUGGAGAAGAUGGAAGAAAUCGCCUUUCAUUCAGGGCAUGGAAUCUCAACACUACAGCAGUUAUACCAAGUGGUCCAGCAUCAUCUUCCUGACCCCUCCCAUCCAUCCACAUAAAUAUACACAUUUUUUUCUUACAUUGGCCCAUGUAUGCUCUACUGAGAUAAACAUGCGCUAAGAGGAAAACCAAAAUGAAAGUUUCUAUUGGUUGGUGAAAAGCAAGAUCUUCGUCUUUCCCGUCCGGUUGGAGGCUACUCUUCUGCCAAGUGCCCAUUAUGUGGCAGGUUCUCAGUAAUUAUUGAUCAAGAGAAAGAAGAUGGAUUCUUGCCCUCCAGGAGGUCACUUCCGAGGCAGUACAUAAGACAGCUGCAGACCAGGUAGCUGGUACUGACUGGCUGAUGAAUGACACACAGCGCUGAGAGACGGAAUGCUUCUGAUCAGAUCGAAAGGCAGGCUGCAUUGGAAAGCAGUGCUUCCAGUUGAAAUCAUGGUGCCCUCCCUCAUCAGAACACGGCUCAAUCAAUUACAAAUACCACUCCAGCUCCGGUCACUCAAACAGGGACAUCAUCUCCUCUUUCUUUUCUGGGUUAGAACUUUUGACUUAUCAUGGUGAUAACUGACUACAUUAAAUCCCUUCUGAUGCUCCAACCAAUUAACAGGAAUUUAGUGGCUCUACAAGAACUUUAGAUUGCCUCACAUUGCUGUAGAAGCCAGCAUUUCUCAAUCAGUUUUAACUGGCUAAAGUCAGAGACAUGGUCAGGGGAGCAGGGCUGGUCACCAACGCAGCUUUGGCAGAGAAUCACUUCCUGUUCUUUUUGUCACCACUGCAUUCUGCCACACUCAACCGUCAGCUCUCUCUUCAGACCCAGCGGCGAACACCCUUCCAUCUGUCUGUCAUCAGAAUUUCCCUCUACUUCACUCUCAAGAGGGAGUUUUUGUGGUUGCACUAAGUUGUGCCUGGAUAAUCCAGGAUAAUCUCCUCACUUCAGGAUCUCCAAAUAAACCCCAGCUACAAAUCUCACGAGCCACGAAUUCACAGUGUAAGGGUUAGGGCCUGGCGGGCAUUAUACCUUCGUGGAGCAGCCAGUAAAAAGAGGAAGGAGGUCAUAUCUUACAAACCUUUUUUUCAUUGAACUUCAUUUCUGUGUAUGUAUUUGAGCUACUGUGUGUUACUAGUACUGUGGAAUGUGAGGCUUCUAGUGUUUUUUUAAGAAGCAGAGAAGUAGAUCAAAAUGAUCCAGGAUGAAGUACAAAAGACAAGGGGCAAGGAAAGAAAUACUCAAAGCCUUUUAAAUGGGAGCUCAGGGGCCAGUGUUGCCUGAGUCACGCCUGCGGCCAUUUCUGGUAAACGGGAAAGAAGACCUACCUGAUGAAUGGCACUGUGAGCUGAGUGGGCAGAUGUUCUUUAAAUGAGCAAUUUUUACAUAAUUCAGGGAGAGGGUUGAGUGGUGAGCUUGUAACAAUCUCUCUUCUUCCAAAAUUAUUUUUAUUUUAACUAAUCUAUGUAUAUGUUUGUAUUUUUGUGUGUGUAUAUGUGUAUUUCUGUAUAUGUUAGAAGAAGAAGUUGAACUCCCUCAGAACUGGAGUUACAGGUGGUCAUGAGCCACCUAAUAUGGGUACUGAGAAUUAACUUUGGGUUCCUUGCAAUAGCAGCAAGCAUUCUUAACUGUUCUUCAUGGUAGAAUUUGGCCAUUCAAGUGAUCACAUAAUUACUCUCAUCAGGAGACAUUUGCUAUGUACACAAUUGACUAUUGUGCAUAGUCUUUGGAGAGAUUUUAUUUAUUUUAGACUAUUAAAUUCCCCUUCCUCCACU
rnacentral:lncRNA from 1 species